AGAGACAGCAGCCGCCACGGUAAUACGUAGGUGGCAAGCGUUGUCCGGAAUUAUUGGGCGUAAAGCGCGCGCAGGUGGUUUAAUAAGUCUGAUGUGAAAGCCCACGGCUCAACCGUGGAGGGUCAUUGGAAACUGUUAAACUUGAGUGCAGGAGAGAAAAGUGGAAUUCCUAGUGUAGCGGUGAAAUGCGUAGAGAUUAGGAGGAACACCAGUGGCGAAGGCGGCUUUUUGGCCUGUAACUGACACUGAGGCGCGAAAGCGUGGGGAGCAAACAGGAUUAGAUACCCGUGUAGUCCCUGUCUCUUAUAC
rnacentral:rRNA from 1 species